UACGUAGGGUGCAAGCGUUGUCCGGAAUUAUUGGGCGUAAAGAGCUCGUAGGCGGUCUGUCGCGUCUGCUGUGAAAACUCAGGGCUUAACCCUAAGCUUGCAGUGGGUACGGGCAGACUAGAGUGCGGUAGGGGAGACUGGAAUUCCUGGUGUAGCGGUGAAAUGCGCAGAUAUCAGGAGGAACACCGGUGGCGAAGGCGGGUCUCUGGGCCGUAACUGACGCUGAGGCGCGAAAGCGUGGGGAGCGAACAGG
rnacentral:rRNA from 1 species